rnacentral:lncRNA from 1 species
CAAGCAACAUGUUUAUGCUGAAUAUGUGCUUUCCUUUGGUUCUUACCAGGCAUGAGUGUCUACGUGACUAGCCCCCGAUAAAAACCUUGGGCACUGAGUCUCUGGAGAGCAUCCCCAGCAGGAGACACUUCACAGGUGUCACAAUUGGAUGCCGGAGGUAUUAAGUGCACCCUGUGUGAUAUGCUCCAAGGCCCCCCAGGAUGCUUGACGGGACAAAGGCUGUCUGUGUCUCCGGCUGAGGAAGGUGCUUCUCAGCAGGUGUGGAGAAUAUUAUCAGCCUGCUAUCAAGAGGAGAUGGGGUUGAAUAGCAAAUGA